GGGAGGUCCGGCCACCUGCCCAAGGUGACACAAGCAGUGGAGACCUCCAAACUGGCCAUGCAGGAGAUGAUUCCUCACACAGCACAGAUGAGGCUGUGGGGCAGCAGCAAGCCCCCUCCUGUGUGAGCCCCACCGUCCUCCCCAUGCCCCCUGAGCUGGGGCGUCAGGCCCAUCUUACCUCUGAGUGGUGGAGGCUCCAGAGCAGCUUCCAGUCCCUGUUCCCUGAGUGGUGAAUCUGAAGAGCUGUCCGACUGCAAAGCUGCAGGAGCUGCAGGAGCUGGACUCAGCCUCUCCCUCAGGAGAUCAAAGUCCUCCAAAAAUGCAGCUGCUUCAGUGACAAGAGGGAAUUAUAAUCUUCAGACUCAGGAGGAAUAUGGGGUUGGUUUCAAGCCCAUGGAGCAGCACAAUCGAUUGAGAGCUACAACCUGUCCUGCCGCUGAGCCCCAUCCCAGUAGGCCAGCCACGCCCUCAAGGCCAAGAAGACCAGGCCAUGAAGAAUCUAAGGCCCACUGAGUGCCCAGGUAGCAAGGGCAGAGUGCCUCAGGGCUCGGUGAAGUUUGGGCUGAGCAUGGGCUCUGGAAGUCAGACAGCUACACUGGGCUAUCAGCUCCACUGUGACCAGCCCUGUGACUGGGGCAGGGGACUCACUGCUGUGGUACUUGAGCAUCACUGUCAUAAAUUGAAUGUGUCCGUCCAAUCCUUUUCUCUUUAUCUUUCUUCCUCUAUAAUCACAUGUACUACUGAUCUCUGUUAGUGUUUUUGUUCAAAUGAAUAAACAUAUGUUAU
rnacentral:lncRNA from 10 species